GACGAACGCUGGCGGCGUGCCUAACACAUGCAAGUCGAACGAGACCUUCGGGUCUAGUGGCGCACGGGUGCGUAACGCGUGGGAACCUGCCCUUAGGUUCGGAAUAACUCCCCGAAGGGGGUGCUAAUAACGGAUAGUGUCUUCGGGCCAAAGAUUUUUUGCCUUUGGGUGGGCCCGCGUUGGAUUAGCUGGUUGGUAGGGUACAAGCCUUCCAAGGCGGCGAUCCCUAGCUGGUCUGGGAGGAGGAUCAUCGCCACUGGGACUGGGACACGGCCCCGACUGCGGGGGGGGGGGGGAGUGGGGGAAAUGUGGCCAGGGGCGAAAGCCUGAACCCGCAAGGCCGGGGUGGUGGUGAAGGCCUUAGGGUGGUAAAGCUCUUUUACCCGGGAUGAUAAGGACAGAACCGGGAGAAUAAGCUCCGGCUAAUUCCGU
rnacentral:rRNA from 1 species